rnacentral:rRNA from 1 species
CCUACGGGUGGCAGCAGUGAGGAAUAUUGGUCAAUGGGCGCGAGCCUGAACCAGCCAAGUCGCGUGAGGGAAGACGGUCCUAUGGAUUGUAAACCUCUUUUGUCGGGGAGCAAAAGACGCCACGCGUGGCGUUCCGAGAGUACCCGAAGUAAAAGCAUCGGCAAACUUCGCGCCAGCAGCAGCGGUAAUAUGGAGGAUGCGAGCGUUAUCCCGAUUUAUUGGGUUAAAGGGGUGCGCAGGCGGAAGAUCAAGUCGGCGGUAAAAUUGAGAGGCUCAACGUCUUCGAGCAGUUGAAACUGGUUAUCUUGAGUGAGCGAGGAGUAUGCAGAAGGCGUGGUGUAGCGGUGAAAUGCAUAGAUAUGACGCAGAACUCCGAUUGCGAAGGCAGCAUACCGGCGAUCAACUGACGCUCAUGCACGAAAGUGUGGGUAUCGAACAGGAUUAGAUACCCGUGUAGUC